AAUCCACCACUCCAUUACUGCCCUGGUCUUGAAUGGGCAUACGAUGAGCUGAAGCGUCAGCAGAGAGAAAAUCUGUCAGUAGGUGAGACAUCCUACAGCUCUGAAAGUUAGUGUGCUCUCGUUGGCGGUGGCGCGAGCCUUGUUGCUUGGUUUAAUGUACUAAACUUUCUAUGAUUUCUAAGUAUGUUGUGUGUCUUUUAGUUACAGGCAAGUGUAGAUCUUUUUUUGAAAUACUCGGCACUGAAUAAUGG
rnacentral:misc_RNA from 1 species